UCGGGAAUUUUGCGCAAUGGACGAAAGUCUGAUGGAGCAACUCCGCGUGCAGGAUGAAGGCCUUCGGGUCGUAAACUGCUUUUAUGAGUGAAGAAUAUGACGGUAACUCAUGAAUAAGCACCGGCUAACUACGUGCCAGCAGCCGCGGUCAUACGUAGGGUGCAAGCAUUAUCCGGAGUGACUGGGCGUAAAGAGUUGCGUAGGUGGUUAGUAAAGCGAAUAGUGAAAUCUGUCGGCUCAACCGGCAGGCUAUUAUUCGAACUCACUAACUCGAGAAUGGUAGAGGUAACUGGAAUUUCUAGUGUAGGAGUGAAAUCCGUAGAUAUUAGAAGGAACACCAAUGGCGUAGGCAGGUUACUGGACCAUUUCUGACACUGAGGCACGAAAGCGUGGGGAGCGAA
rnacentral:rRNA from 1 species